rnacentral:lncRNA from 1 species
GAGUCCUUCACAGUGCCAUUACGGUUCAACAAUGAACAUGUUAGCAAGACUGAGGAAUCUCCUUAGGAGAGAAUAUGGAGAAGGGAGACAGACCAGAGACAGGCUGACUUUCAGCCUCAGUUGAAACCAUCAAAAAGGAAAUGGCUCAAAAGGAAGAACAGGGCUGCUGGAAAGCCAUCAACUCCCCCAACACUCCUCACUAAGAAGGAGGUGAAUCAGAAAAUGUAGAUUCUGACAGCCAGCUAGAGAAGUGACCAGAGAAACAAAGGAGCUGCGGGAUUGCCUCAGCUCCAUCACGGAAGGAUCCCCUGACAACAGAAGCAGAACCUGAAACCUGGGCAGGAGUGAGAUGGAGACAGACUAUUAUUCUGUUUCUUCCAAAAGAAAACCAGAGCCUAUGGCCUGAGUCACAUAACUCAGGGAUUGAAGACAGAGGUGUGAGUUCCCAGCAUGCAUUUGGACAGGUCCUGUCAAGUGGCAACUUCUGUGAGAAGCCAGCUGCUAUGGAGUAUAAGCAGGUCAUGGCAGACCUGCAUAGAUUGGAGAAUGAGAACACAGAGGCCUUGAAGAGAUUCAGUGAGCUUGACAAGGAGUCACUCUUCUAUUGGUAAGUGCCUGUCUUGCUGGG